rnacentral:lncRNA from 1 species
AGAAUUGGUAAAAGAAGGUAAUGUUUAUAUGCAAAAACAUUUUAAAUUAUAAACAUUAAUAAAUUUUGAAAGAACUUGAUAUUAUUAGCAUUAUGUAAAAUAUCAAAAACUACACAAUAAUUUGACUAUUAUUAGCAUUAAUAAAUUUUUUGUAUACAAUUACUUCAUAGAAUCUCUCAAAAUUAUUUAAUAUAGUUAAGAAUAAGUAUUGAAGAAUGAUGAAAUUUUGGAUAUGAUCAUUACAAAUAUGCUUAAAACUGAACUCACACGAACCACAACAGAACCACAUUACGACCACAAAAUGGUGGUUACCGCAUGGUUGCAUUGUGGUCGAAUCAACCACUUGCAAACCACUUAUAGUGGCUGGUUAAGUCCAUAUCAACCACAAUCUGUUGUCAAUACGGACUUCAAGCAUGGAAAUUUUGACAAAAUGGAUUUGGAAACUUAUAUAGUCCCAAAUACAUAGUAAGUUGUG